rnacentral:lncRNA from 10 species
AAACAAUUUUUUUUUUUUGACACAGAGUCUCACUCUGUCAUUUAGGUUGGAGUGCAGUGGCACAACCUCGGCUCACUGCAGCCUCUGCCUCCUGGGCUCAAGUGAUCCUCCUGCCUCAGCCUCCUGAGUAGCUGGGAUUACAGGCGCCUGCGGCCACACCCGGCUAAAUUUUGUAUUUUUAGUAGAGAUAGGGUUUCACCAUGUUGGCCAGGCUAGUCUUGAACUCCUGACCUCAAGUGAUCCUCCUGCCUCACUCUCCCAAAGUGCUGGGAUUACCGGUGGGAGCCACUGUGCCUCGCUCUCUAAAUAAACAAUUUAAAAAAUUAGCCGGGCACAGUGGUGCACGCCUAUAGUCUCAACUACUCAGGAGGAGGCGGCGGGAGGAUCACGAGCCUGGGAGUUUGAGGCUGCAGUGAGCCAUGAUUGCGCCACUGUGCUCCCGGCCUGGGUGACAGAGUGAGACCUUGUCUCAAAAACAAAAAGAAAAAAAUCUACCCCUGGAAGCACAACACAGGCCACGCUGCAGGUCAGCCUGGGAGCCUCAUCCGGCCAGGCCUCCAGUGAGGAGGUGGGGAUCGCGGAGGCCGGGCCGGAGUCCGAGGUGAGGA